CUGGUUGAUCCUGCCAGUAAUUAUAUGCUUGUCUCAAAGAUUAAGCCAUGCAUGUAUCAGUUCAUGUCCUAGUACGACGAAACCGCGAAUGGCUCAUUAAAUCAGCUAUUAUUUCUUGGAUCUUACACAAUUACUUGGAUAACUGUAGUAAUUCUAGAGCUAAUACAUGACAAUGUGCCACAGCGCUUGCGCUGUGUGCGAAUUUAUUAGAUCAAAACCAACCAGCUUCGGCUGCUUGUUUGUUAACUCUGGAUAACUGACCUGAUCGCAUGACCUUGUGUCGGCGACGUAUCUUUCAAGUGUCUGCCCUAUCAACUGACGUUGGUAGUGUAAAUGACUACCAUGGUUGUGACGGGUAACGGGGAAUCAGGGUUCGAUACCGGAGAGGGAGCCUUAGAAACGGCUACCACAUCUAAGGAAGGCAGCAGGCGCGCAAAUUACCCACUCUCAGUUCGAGGAGGUAGUGACGAAAAAUAACGAUAUGGAACUCAUUACGAGGCUCCAUAAUUGGAAUGAGUACAGUGUAAAAAACUUAACGAGUACCAAUUGGAGGGCAAGUCUGGUGCCAGCAGCCGCGGUAAUUCCAGCUCCAAUAGCGUAUAUUAAAUUUGUUGCGUUUAAAAAGCUCGUAGUUGGAUCUCAGGUUGAGUUUGGCGGACUGGGCUUUGUUCUAUGCUCCGUCAUACCGACCUUUCAUAGCCGUUUGUUGCCCUAUGGUGCUCUUCACUGAGCGCCGUAUGGGUACUCGGCACGUUUACCUUGAAAAAAUCAGAGUGCUCAAAGCAGGCCUUCGUGCUUGUAUAUUGUUGCAUGGAAUAAUGGAACAGGACUUCGGUACUAUUUUGUUGUGUUUUGAGUGCCGAAGUAAUGAAUAAUAGAGACAGACGGGGGCAUUUGUAUGCCGGUGUUAGAGGUGAAAUUCUGAGAUCGCCGGCAGACAAACUACUGCGAAAGCAUUUGCCAAGUAUGUCUUCAUUAAUCAAGAACGAAAGUCGGAGGUUCGAAAACGAUUAGAUACCGUUGUAGUUCCGACCAUAAACUAUGUCAACAUAUAAUCGGGGGUGGUUAUAUUUCUAUUGACCCUCCCGGCUAUACCCGGGAAACCUAAGUUGGAUUCCGGGGGGAAUAUGGUCCCAAGGCCGAAACUUAAAGGAAUUGACGGAAGGGCACCACCAGGAGUGGAGCCUGCGGCUUAAUUUGACUCAACACGGGGAAUCUCACCCGGUCCGGACACUGUUAGGAUGGACAGAUUGACAGCUCUUUCUUGAUUCAGUGGGUGGUGGUGCAUGGCCGUUCUUAGUUGGUGGAGUGAUUUGUCUGGUUAAUUCCGAUAACGAACGAGACUCUGUCCUGCUAACUAGUCCACUAGCAUUGGUCACUUGCGUGACACAGCUAUUGCUGACUUCUUAGAGGGAUUCGCGGAUUCAACCCGCACGAAAUGGAGCAAUAACAGGUCUGUGAUGCCCUUAGAUGUCCGGGGCCGCACGCGCGCUACAUUGACAGUAACAGCGAGUAUUUCCACCUGGUCUGAAAAGAUUGGGAAAUCUUCGAAUUACUGUCUCCACAGGGAUUGAGGUUUGCAAUUAUCCCUCAUGAACGAGGAAUUCCCAGUAGGCGCAAGUCAUCAGCUUGCGUCGAUUACGUCCCUGCCCUUUGUACACACCGCCCGUCGCUACUACCGAUUGGAUGGGUUAGUGAGGACCUCGGAUUGAGAACUUUGUGACGUAAAGUCAUAUUGUGCUCGAAAAGUGGUUCGAACUUGUCUAUCUAGAGGAAGUAAAAGUCGUAACAAGGUUUCCGUAGGUGAACCUGCAGAUGGAUCA
rnacentral:rRNA from 1 species